GACAGAGGGUGCAAACGUUGUUCGGAAUUACUGGGCGUAAAGCGCGUGUAGGCUGCUCUGCAAGUCGGAUGUGAAAGCCCUGGGCUCAACCUAGGAAGUGCAUUCGAAACUGCAGAGCUGGAGUCCUGGAGAGGAAGGCGGAAUUCUCGGUGUAGAGGUGAAAUUCGUAGAUAUUAGGAGGAACACCGGUGGCGAAGGCGGCUAUCUGGACGACAACUGACGCUGAGGCGCGAAAGCACGGGGAUCAAACAGG
rnacentral:rRNA from 1 species